rnacentral:rRNA from 1 species
UGGGGAAUAUUGGACAAUGGGCGCAAGCCUGAUCCAGCCAUGCCGCGUGAGUGAUGAAGGCCCUAGGGUUGUAAAGCUCUUUCACCGGUGAAGAUAAUGACGGUAACCGGAGAUGAAGCCCCGGCUAACUUCGUGCCAGCAGCCGCGGUAAUACGAAGGGGGCUAGCGUUGUUCGGAUUUACUGGGCGUAAAGCGCACGUAGGCGGACUAUUAAGUCAGGGGUGAAAUCCCGGGGCUCAACCCCGGAACUGCCUUUGAUACUGGUAGUCUUGAGUUCGAGAGAGGUGAGUGGAAUUCCGAGUGUAGAGGUGAAAUUCGUAGAUAUUCGGAGGAACACCAGUGGCGAAGGCGGCUCACUGGCUCGAUACUGACGCUGAGGUGCGAAAGCGUGGGGAGCAAACAGG